AUUGAACGCUGGCGGAAUGCUUUACACAUGCAAGUCGAACGGCAGCACGGACUUCGGUCUGGUGGCGAGUGGCGAACGGGUGAGUAAUGUAUCGGAACGUGCCCAGUCGUGGGGGAUAACGUAGUGAAAAUUACGCUAAUACCGCAUACGAUCUAUGGCUGAAAGCGGGGGAUCGCAAGACCUUGCGCGAUUGGAGCGGCCGAUAUCAGAUUAGGUAGUUGGUGGGGUAAAGGCCCACCAAGACGACGAUCUGUAGCUGGUCUGAGAGGACGACCAGCCACACUGGAACUGAGACACGGUCCAGACUCCUACGGGAGGCAGCAGUGGGGAAUUUUGGACAAUGGGCGAAAGCCUGAUCCAGCCAUUCCGCGUGCAGGAUGAAGGCCCUCGGGCUGUAAACUGCUUUUGUACAGAACGAAAAGGUUUCUACUAAUACUAGGAGCUCACGACGGUACUGUAAGAAUAAGCACCGGCUAACUACGUGCCAGCCGCCGCAGUAA
rnacentral:rRNA from 1 species